rnacentral:rRNA from 1 species
GGCGAACGCUGGCGGCGUGCUUAACACAUGCAAGUCGAACGGUAAGGCCCUUUUGGGGGUACACGAGUGGCGAACGGGUGAGUAACACGUGGGUGAUCUGCCCUGCACUUUGAGAUAAGCCUGGGAAACUGGGUCUAAUACCGAAUAUUCCUUGCUGGUCGCAUGGCCUGGUGGGGGAAAGCUUUUGCGGUGUGGGAUGGGCCCGCGGCCUAUCAGCUUGUUGGUGGGGUGAUGGCCUACCAAGGCGACGACGGGUAGCCGGCCUGAGAGGGUGUCCGGCCACACUGGGACUGAGAUACGGCCCAGACUCCUACGGGAGGCAGCAGUGGGGAAUAUUGCACAAUGGGCGCAAGCCUGAUGCAGCGACGCCGCGUGAGGGAUGACGGCCUUCGGGUUGUAAACCUCUUUCAAUAGGGACGAAGCGUGAGUGACGGUACCUAGAGAAGAAGCACCGGCCAACUACGUGCCAGCCGCCGCGGUAACAC